rnacentral:rRNA from 1 species
CCUACGGGUGGCAGCAGUGAGGAAUAUUGGGCAAUGGACGCAAGUCUGAACCAGCCAUGCCGCGUGCAGGAAGACGGCUCUAUGAGUUGUAAACUGCGUUUGUACGAGGGUAAACGCAGAUACGCGUAUCUGUCUGAAAGUAUCGUACGAAUAAGGAUCGGCUAACUCCGUUCCAGCAGCCGCGGUAAUGCGAAGGAUUCAAGCGUUAUCCGGAUUUAUUGGGUUUAAAGGGUGCGUAGGCGGUCGGAUAAGUUAGGGGUGAAAUCCCGAGGCUCAACUUCGGAAUUGCCUCUGAUACUGUGCGGCUAGAGAGCAGUUGCGGUAGGCGGAAUGUAUGGUGUAGCGGUGAAAUGCUUAGAGAUCAUACAGAACACCGAUUGCGAAGGCAGCUAACCAAGCCACUUCUGACGUUGAGGCACGAAAGCGUGGGGAGCAAACAGGAUUAGAUACCCUAGUAGUC